UUUCCGUAGGUGAACCUGCGGAAGGAUCAUUCAUAAUACAGUGUUUUAUGGCACUUUUUAAAAAUCCAUAUCCACCUUGUGUGCAAUAUUAGAUCUCGUCAAUCUUGGCGAGAUUUUUAUACAUCAAGUCAGUCUUUAACUAAUUUGUCUGAAAAAUAUUAUGAAUACUUAAUUCAAAAUACAACUUUCAACAACGGAUCUCUUGGCUCUC
rnacentral:misc_RNA from 1 species